UGUGUAAGAACUUUUUCAACUCGAUCAAACAUGCGUAGACACGAAAAAACGCAUUUGGGAAUAAGAAACCGAUGUGACUUUUGUGACGCAGAUUUUAAAUACUUUGGAGAUUUAAAAAAACAUUUGAACAAACAUAUUACAAUAAUUUCGGAACAAAAUCGUCAGAGAGCUAGUGUAAUAACACAUACUUCAAACUAUUAUGAUAAUGAACAUUUAUACGUACAUUCCACCUCAAAUUAUCAAGGUCCAUCUAUUGUUUCAUUGAAUAAACGCAAACAUGAAGACAUUUGGGGUGGUGAACUUGGGGAUCAAAUCUGUCUAGAAGCCGAUUCAGCAUUAACUAGUACUGCUAGUUCUACCGCAGGUCGUCGAACAAAAAAACAACGUCUAGAAGAGGUUAAAACAGAAGGAUUCCAAUUAAUCCAGUCUGCAUUUGGAGGUAUGAUAAAAAAUUAUUAUAAGAAAAAUCUCACUCUAUUGCCUCACUACCAGUUGUUUCUCGAUGAAGCCAAGCCCGAGAUAAUAAAGUUGCUUACUGAGUUAAUAUCAAAAGACUCUAUUAAAUUUAACUUAAAACUGGAGGGUACAUAAAAAAUCCUCCAUACAUCAGUUAUAGAAAUAGGUCUUUCAAAACCGCUGCUCGAACACUAUGCAUGGCUGACAACGAUUUGCAUGCCAUACUAGAAGAAGAAUUUAAUAAAUUAAUGCAUGAAGAAGAAGUUUACACAUCAAAAGGAUCUGGCUUUUCAAUAGACAGCGUCGACGGUUUACUACUAAGUGUGUAUUGUUAUAAACCAAUCGGGGGCUCAUCGUACAUCAAAUUACCCAACAGCAUUGAAGCACGUAAGGCAAUCAUUAAUGUAAAAAAUAAUGAUGAGAUGUGUUUUAAAUAUAGUAUUAUGGUAAAAUAUGUUGACACGCCAAAUCCAAGCAGAAUUAGUCACUACCUAAACGCACCAGAAAACUACGAUUUUUCAGAAUUAAACUAUCCAGUUGAAGUCAAGGACGUCAAAAAAUUCGAAAAAAGGAAUCCGGGUGUCUCUGUGAAUGUGUACGGAUUGAAAAUGUGUGAGCCAACAUGUAACGUUGAUAAAAUCCACAACCGCAAAAAUAACAAAGAGUAUAUUGUUGUUCCUUACAAGAUAUGUGAUCAAGAGUUGAACGAUCAUUUCGACCUACUAUUGUUUAAUGAUGAAUCAACUAAUGGUGAUAAAUAUCAUUAUGCCUACAUUAAAAAUUUUUCUCGUUUGGUAAGAUCACAAAUUAUUAAUCACAGAGCUACUAUGGCUAUAUGUAAGCGCUGUUUCAAGGGGUAUAUCGACGAACCGAAUAAACCAGACAAGGCUGUUCGUUUAGCCGAACAUAAAAGACAGUGUGUAUUAAAUAAACCUGUUGCGCCUAUUAUGCCCACCGUCGGCAGUUCAUUACGUUUUCAAAAUUGGGGCAACACUCAUAAGCAUGACGUUGUAAUUUAUGCUGACUUCGAGGCGAUGCUGGUUAAAAAUACGGACGACUUAGCGGCAACUUCAAGUGAGAAAAAACUAUUAUUACACAUAACCAUGAACCUAUGUCAUUUGUUUACAAGGUAAAAUCAGGUGAAAAUGUUCCUGAAGAAUUACUUCAUGCAUACAAUAUACCUGUUAACCCAGUAGUGUUUUGCGGAGACAGAACCAACAAUGAAGUAGGAAAAAAGUUUGUUAACAGUAUUGUGGAUUUGUGUAGAAGAAUUGAACAACUUCUCAAAACAAAUCAACCGAUGAAGAUGACAAGGGAGGAUUGGAACGUUCAAACACUAUUCUAAGUGGAGGUAAAUGUCCAUUAUGUACAAGUCAAUUCACUGAAAGGAACCAUGCAGUACGAGACCAUCACCAUUUAAGUGGCAAGUUUAGAAACACUGUAUGUAAUUCAUGUAACUUAAGAAUGCAGACACCAAAAUUUGUACCUGUUUUCGCUCAUAAUAUGAAUUAUGAUAAAAGUUUCAUUAUUGGCGAGUUGGGUUUUGACGCACAUACACUGUCCGUGGUACCAAAUAGUGAAGAAAAGUUUAUAUUUUUUUCAAAGUACAUUUCAAACAAAUUUUCUGUACGUUUUCUAGACACCUUUAAAUUUAUGUCGUCAAGUUUAGAUGCGCUUAGUGCAAAUUUAGCUCGUUCAGACAAGACUAAAUUCAAAUCUGUAAUGUCUGCAUAUCAGAGCAGAGAUUUAGAUUUAGUUUUUAGAAAAGGUGUGUUUUGCUAUGAAUACAUGAAUAGUUGGGAAAAAUUGGAAGAACGUUCUUUACCACCUAUUGAAGAAUUUUACAGUUCACUUACAGAAAAACAUAUUUUACCAGAAGAUUAUGCACACGCUCAAAAUGUUUGGCAGCGGUUUAACCACCAAACUUUAAAGGAUUACGUUAUUUGGUACAAUGAGUUGGAUGUACACCUUCUUUGUGAUGUAUUUGAAGCUUUCAGAGACCUGUGUUUAUCAACCUAUGGACUAGACCCCUGUUUUUACUAUACCGCUCCGGGUUUAUCAUUUGACGCCAUGCUGAAAAUAACUAAAGUCGAGCUUGAACUUUUAACGGACUAUGAUAUGCUUCUGUUCAUAGAAAACGGAAUAAGAGGUGGUAUCACUCAAGCUGUAAAAAGGUAUGCCAAAGCAAACAAUAAAUUUACGACUGGUUAUGAUGCGAGUGAACCGUCAAGCUGGCUGAUAUAUUUAGAUGCUACUAAUUUGUACGGAUGGGAUAUGAGUCAAGCUCUUCCCCGAAAAAACUUUAGGUGGUAUGAAAAGGACAUAGCUGUAAGUGCUG